GAUGAACGCUGGCGGCGUGCCUAAUACAUGCAAGUCGAGCGAACAGACGAGGAGCUUGCUCCUCUGACGUUAGCGGCGGACGGGUGAGUAACACGUGGAUAACCUACCUAUAAGACUGGGAUAACUUCGGGAAACCGGAGCUAAUACCGGAUAAUAUAUUGAACCGCAUGGUUCAAUAGUGAAAGACGGGUUUGCUGUCACUUAUAGAUGGAUCCGCGCCGCAUUAGCUAGUUGGUAAGGUAACGGCUUACCAAGGCGACGAUGCGUAGCCGACCUGAGAGGGUGAUCGGCCACACUGGAACUGAGACACGGUCCAGACUCCUACGGGAGGCAGCAGUAGGGAAUCUUCCGCAAUGGGCGAAAGCCUGACGGAGCAACGCCGCGUGAGUGAUGAAGGUCUUCGGAUCGUAAAACUCUGUUAUUAGGGAAGAACAAAUGUGUAAGUAACUAUGCACGUCUUGACGGUACCUAAUCAGAAAGCCACGGCUAACUACGUG
rnacentral:rRNA from 1 species